CCAGAUUUCCAUGCCUAGUCUACUGACGAGUAUGACAUGUUCUUAUGAUCUUGCCCUUAACCUGCUUGCACUGAUAGAGGUAAUCAUGACAGGAUCUUUCUUGUGUAAGGUGGGGGGUUUCGAGAUACGGACCGGAGGUGUAGAUUUGAAGAUGCUUUUUACUAAGAUCAUAUAUGUGUUGUUUUACUAUCCGUGCUUGAAUUACAAAAUAUGCAUAGUCUAGGUCGCUCUAGAUUGAUUAUCUAUGCUCUAUCUAUUAUCUAUCUGUAUAUGCUUAGUAGAUUGGAUCUGAAUCUCCCGUAAACAUCAUGUUAAUACUAACAAUGCUAGUUGAAAGAGAUCUUGUGAUAUAAGUUCCAUGGAUUGAUAAACCUUGGGGGAAUACUCUGAGGGAAGAGCUACAAUUGAUCCGUAUGCUUACAGUUCACAACUUGGCGUGCUAAUAGCCGUCAACAGAGCCCAUGACAAAAAAAGCACUAAUCAAAAUAGCGGUGUCCAAAUAGAUGCCACAAACAACAAUGGGAGAUAUGACU
rnacentral:lncRNA from 1 species